rnacentral:rRNA from 1 species
GACGAACGCUGGCGGCGUGCUUAACACAUGCAGGUCGAACGGAAAGGCCCUGCUUUUGUGGGGUGCUCGAGUGGCGAACGGGUGAGUAACACGUGAGUAACCUGCCCUUGACUUUGGGAUAACUUCAGGAAACUGGGGCUAAUACCGGAUAGGAGCUCCUGCUGCAUGGUGGGGGUUGGAAAGUUUCGGCGGUUGGGGAUGGACUCGCGGCUUAUCAGCUUGUUGGUGGGGUAGUGGCUUACCAAGGCUUUGACGGGUAGCCGGCCUGAGAGGGUGACCGGCCACAUUGGGACUGAGAUACGGCCCAGACUCCUACGGGAGGCAGCAGUGGGGAAUAUUGCACAAUGGGCGGAAGCCUGAUGCAGCAACGCCGCGUGCGGGAUGACGGCCUUCGGGUUGUAAACCGCUUUCGCCUGUGACGAAGCGUGAGUGACGGUAAUGGGUAAAGAGGCACCGGCUAACUACGUG